rnacentral:rRNA from 1 species
CACGUAGGGCGCAAGCGUUGUCCGGAAUUAUUGGGCGUAAAGAGCUCGUAGGCGGUCUGUUACGUCUGCUGUGAAAACCCGGGGCUUAACCCUGGGCUUGCAGUGGAUACGGGCAGACUAGAGGCAGGUAAGGGAGAAUGGAAUUCCCGGUGUAGCGGUGAAAUGCGCAGAUAUCGGGAGGAACACCGGUGGCGAAGGCGGUUCUCUGGGCAUUACCUGACGCUGAGGAGCGAAAGUGUGGGGAGCGAACAGG